CUACGGGACGCUGCAGUGGGGAAUAUUGCACAAUGGAGGAAACUCUGAUGCAGCAACGCCGCGUGGAGGAUGACACUUUUCGGAGCGUAAACUCCUUUUAUAUAGGAAGAUAAUGACGGUACUAUAUGAAUAAGCACCGGCUAACUCCGUGCCAGCAGCCGCGGUAAUACGGAGGGUGCAAGCGUUACUCGGAAUCACUGGGCGUAAAGAGCGUGUAGGCGGGUUAAUAAGUCAGAAGUGAAAUCCUAUGGCUCAACCAUAGAACUGCUUUUGAAACUGUUAACCUAGAAUAUGGGAGAGGUAGAUGGAAUUUCUGGUGUAGGGGUAAAAUCCGUAGAGAUCAGAAGGAAUACCGAUUGCGAAGGCGAUCUACUGGAACAUUAUUGACGCUGAGACGCGAAAGCGUGGGGAGCAAACAGGAUUAGAUACCCGGGUAGUC
rnacentral:rRNA from 1 species